rnacentral:rRNA from 1 species
UACGAAGGGGGCUAGCGUUGUUCGGAAUUACUGAGCGUAAAGGGCGCGCAGGCGGCUCUUCAAGUCAGAUGUGAAAGCCCCGGGCUCAACCUGGGAACUGCAUUUGUGACUGCAUCGCUGGAGUGCGGCAGAGGGGGAUGGAAUUCCGCGUGUAGCAGUGAAAUGCGUAGAUAUGCGGAGGAACACCGAUGGCGAAGGCAAUCCCCUGGGCCUGCACUGACGCUCAUGCACGAAAGCGUGGGGAGCAAACAGG